GACGAACCGUGCGAACGUUGUUCGGAAUCACUGGGCUUAAAGGGUGCGUAGGCGGCGCGGUAAGUCGGGUGUGAAAUCUUGGAGCUUAACUCCGAAACUGCAUUCGAUACUGCCGUGCUUGAGGACUGGAGAGGAGACUGGAAUUUACGGUGUAGCGGUGAAAUGCGUAGAUAUCGUAAGGAAGACCAGUGGCGAAGGCGGGUCUCUGGACAGUUCCUGACGCUGAGGCACGAAGGUCAGGGGAGCAAACGGG
rnacentral:rRNA from 1 species